rnacentral:rRNA from 1 species
AGAGCGAACGCUGGCGGCAGGCCUAACACAUGCAAGUCGAGCGCCCGUAGCAAUACGGGAGCGGCAGACGGGAUAGUAACACGUGGGAACGCGCCCUUCGGUUCGGAAUAACUCAGGGAAACUUGAGCUAAUACCGGAUACGCCCUUACGGGGAAAGAUUUAUUGCCGAAGGAACGGCCCUCGUCCGAUUAGCUAGUUGGUGAGGUAAUGGCUCACCAAGGCGACGAUCGGUAGCUGGUCUGAGAGGAUGACCAGCAUCACUGGGACUGAGACACGGCCCAGACUCCUACGGGAGGCAGCAGUGGGGAAUAUUGGACAAUGGGCGCAAGCCUGAUCCAGCCAUGCCGCGUGGAUGAUGAAGGCCUUAGGGUUGUAAAGUCCUUUUAACGGGGAAGAUAAUGACGGUACCGUAGAAUAAGCCCCGGCUAACUUCGCGCCAGCAGCCGC